rnacentral:SRP_RNA from 1 species
GACUCGGACCCAUGCGGUUCAGACGCCCAAACCUGGUCAGAUCCGGAAGGCAGCAGCCACACGGGAUGCUCGGGACAGGCGUGGAUUCCGGGUCACCC